CAGAUAGUGCGCGGAAGACAACACCCUCAGUAGUUAAAAACUUGAAAAUGGAGGAAAAGCGCACCGGAACCCCACCGCCGGCGGCUUCAUCGGCCGAGGCUCCGGUGACGGAUGCACCUGCCAGUUCGAGGCGGAGAGGCGGAGGACAGAAGAGAAAAGCAAGCGCCACCGGCAGCGGCAGCAGUUCGACUCCUCAAACAACCUCGUCCAAGCGCCAGGCUCGUGAGAAGCCGCCGCCCGUACCUUUCCCUCCGAUCCACAAUGGUCCGUUAACCAGAGCUCGGCUGCUGCCGAAUAACGGGGCCGCUUUUGUACCUUCGCCUUCCGGUGUGAAGAAUGAGUUGGACGAGGUGGCUAAGAGAGAGGCUGGAGGCGGAGAAGUUUUGAAGGGGGACGAACCAAAUGAGGCGGCCAAGGAGGAUUUGCAAGCUCUGGAGGCCAAAUUUGAAGCUGAUUAUGAAGCAAUUAGAUCACGAGAGUCUAUUGCUCAUGUGGUGCCCAAUCAUGCUGGGUGGUUUUCUUGGACAAAAAUUCAUCCCCUGGAAGAGAAAACAUUGCCAUCUUUCUUCAGUGGGAAAUCUGAAAGUAGGACUCCUGAAAUAUACAUGGAGAUACGUAAUUGGAUUAUGAAAAAAUUUCAUGCAAACCCCAACACAAAUAUUGAGUUCAAAGAUUUGUCAGAGAUAUCGGUUGGCGAGUUGGAUGCAAGGCAGGAGGUGAUGGAGUUUUUGGACUACUGGGGGCUGAUUAAUUACCACCCUUUCCCAAAAGAUGAUCUGACCACUGUGAGCAUCACAGGUGAUGCUCAUAAAGACGGAAAGGCUGAAUCUUUGUUGGAAAGUUUGUUUCGAUUUGAAUCCGAUCAAUCAUGUAUGCGAGUUAUUCCCAGGAACUGUGAGGCAACACCAUCUGUGUCAUCUGGGUUAUUUCCAGAGUCUGCAAUUUCUGAAGAACUGGUCAAGUCUGAGGGAGUUGAGUACCAUUGCAAUUCUUGCUCAGCUGAUUGCUCUCGCAAGCGUUAUCAUUGCCAGAAGCAGGCAGAUUUUGAUUUAUGCACUGAAUGUUUUAACAAUGGGAAGUUCGGUUCUGAUAUGUCCCCGUCCGAUUUUAUUGUGAUGGAGCCUGCUGAGGCCGGUGGUGCUAGUGGUGGAAAUUGGACAGAUCAGGAGACCCUCCUACUCCUUGAAGCUUUGGAACUUUUCAAGGAAAAUUGGAAUGAGAUUGCUGAGCAUGUCGCUACUAAAACUAAAGCUCAGUGUAUUUUGCAUUUUGUCCAAAUGCCAAUUGAAGAUACAUUCUUGGAUAGUUGCGAUGAAGGUGACAUUCCUUCUAAAGGAAAUUCAGAUGCAGUUCCAAUUAAUGAUGAUACUUCAGCUCCAAAAGAUGGUCCUGAAACAGCUGAGAGCAAGGUCAAGGCAAAAGACGACGACCCUUCAUCUUCUCCGAUGGAAAGUUCAAAGCCUGAAGACACUGAUGGAUCAACAGUCUGUGAAGUUGGUGAGAAUUUUGCUGUGAAAGCACUAACUGAAGCAUUUGAAAUUGUUAAUUCUCUCCCUUCGCCGGGUGAACGGCUUUCUUUUGCUGAAGCCGGUAAUCCUGUGAUGACACUGGUUGCAUUCCUAGUAAGACUAUUGGAACCUAAUGUUGCCACCGCCUCUGCACGUAGCUCUUUAAAAUCCAUUUCUGGCAACUGUACUGGUGAUCAGCUGGCAAUGAGACACUGUUUCCGCUUGGAAGAUCCACCUGAUGAAAAAAACUCUGUUCUUUCUGAAAGACCUGCUGAAAUGGUUGAGCAAGAAACUCCUAGAAGUGAUGAGCAAUACCCUGAAAAGCGUGAAGAGAACUUGAGCCCAGUUGUUGAUGGUGCCCAUUUAUCAACUGAGGAGGACAACAAGAGUAAGAAGGAUUCUCUUGUGGAAGAAGAGAGACCACUGGCUUCUCCAAGUCUUGCAUGUGUAGAUGAACCUGCAUCUGCCAAGGAAACUAAUGAAACAACAACUAAUGAGGAAUCAGAACCUACACAUGUCAUUGAAUCAGAUAAACCAGAUGUCCCGAAGGAACAGGAGCCAGCGAAUGCUGAGAAAUCAGAUGAUUUAGCAAUGGAAGUGGAAGUUCCUCCUGGUUUUGAGAAGGAGCCAGAUGAUGCAGCCCCACUGGGGGAACCUUCUGAAUCAGCGGAUGUUUCAAAGGAUAUGGACUUGGAAAUGAAAGAUCGUGUGGAACUAACUGCCUCAAAUUUGGUGGCAGAGAAUGAAGCAAAUAAAGGUGUGCUAGAAGAAAAUUUUGUUGAACUAGACUGCUUCUAAUGAGGGUCUUUCUUGUAGGUAGAUGAACAUGCUUAAAACAGCCUUUGGAUGUCAAUAGGAAUUAAUUUGCAAAAAAAGUCAGAUAACAUUGAGGAGAAUGGGAGGGUCUAGUGAUUAAAGCUGUUAAGUACACUAUGCUCCAUAAGCUAAAGAUAUCAUUGAUGAGGAGAAAUGUGCUUUGGAGAUGAAAAAUGAUCUUGCCACUGAUAAGAUAAAACGAGCUGCGGUUACUGCUCUAUCAGCUGCUGCAGUGAAGGCAAAGCUUCUAGCUAAGCAAGAAGAACAACAAAUUCAACGACUUGCUGCACUCUUAAUUGAAAAGCAGUUGCACAAGUUGGAAACCAAGUUGGCUUUUUUCAAUGAUAUGGAGAAUGUUGUAAUGAGAGUUCGGGAGCAGUUGGAAAGGUCAAAGCAGAGGCUUUUUCACGAGCGGGCGCAAAUAAUAGCAACUCGACUUGGGAAGCCAGGUUCUCGGACAAUGUCACAACAAUUGCCUGUCAACAGAGUGGCAAUGGCUUUUGCAAACUCUGCACCGAGGCCCAUUAUUGGAAGUUCAGUGCAGCCGUCCAAUCAGGACCAACCUUCUUCAGUUGUCACUAAGUAGCUUCUGGUGACAUGCACAUGGAUCGUCUCAUUCUUGCUGGUCCUGACUGUGGCCCACCAUUUAACAAGUGUGCCAGCAUGUUUUGUUCGGCUAUAUAAUUGGAAGAUCACCGAGACCAUUAAAAGCAUCUAUAUGCUUCUUCGAAUGGAUUGGAGGCUGGAUCCAGAUUGAAUUGGCUCAUAAUUUGUUUGCAUCCCCGUGGAAGAACUUAUUAUGAAGCCUCUAGAUGGAUGUAGAAAUUUUCUCACUAAAGCAUCUUAGGUUAGAUGAAUUGUUAAAAUAUACAGCAUGCAGUUUCUAAGAGAAUUGGUGAUUGUGGUCCUUUUUUUUUUUUAACCUCCAAUUGAUAGGCAUAGGAUUUAAACCCUGAGUCCUCUCCUAACCACUGAGUUAGCCCUGAGUUAUUGUGGUAUUUAGUGUUAACCAACUUUGAAUUUGUGAA